UACAGAGGGGGCAAGCGUUGUUCGGAAUUACUGGGCGUAAAGGGCGCGUAGGCGGCCUGCUAAGUCGAACGUGAAAUCCCCGGGCUCAACCCGGGAACUGCGUCCGAUACUGGUAGGCUUGAAUUCGGGAGAGGGAUGCGGAAUUCCAGGUGUAGCGGUGAAAUGCGUAGAUAUCUGGAGGAACACCGGUGGCGAAGGCGGCAUCCUGGACCGACAUUGACGCUGAGGAGCGAAAGCCAGGGGAGCAAACGGG
rnacentral:rRNA from 1 species